UAGACCCUCUAGACCCUCCUGGCAGGUCCUAGACCCCCUGGUAGGUCCUAGACCCUCCUGGCAGGUCCUAGACCCUCCUGGUAGGUCCUAGACCCUCUAGACCCUCCUGGCAGGUCCUAGACCCUCCUGGUAGGUCCUAGACCACCCUGGUAGGUCCUAGACCCUCUAGACCCUCCUGGCAGGUCCUAGCCCCCCUAGUUGGUCCUAGACCCUCUAGACCCUCCUGGUAGGUCCUAGACCCCCCUGGUUGGUCCUAGACCCUCCUGGUAGGUCCUAGACCCUCCUGGUAGGUCCUAGACCCCCUGGUAGGUCCUAGACCCUCUAGACCCUCCUGGUAGGUCCUAGACCCUCCUGGUAGGUCCUAGACCACCCUGGUAGGUCCUAGACCCUCUAGACCCUCCUGGUAGGUCCUAGACCCUCCUGGUAGGUCCUAGACCACCCUGGUAGGUCCUAGACCCUCCUGGUAGGUCCAAGACCCUCUCUCUAGGGUGCUGUAUUGAGGUUUGUGUAAUGUUGCGGGGGUGUAACGAUAUGGGUGGUGUAAUGAUGCGGGGGUGUAACGAUGUGGGGUGGUUAACGUGUAAUAAUGCGGGUGGUGUAGCGAUGCCGGUGGUGUAGCGAUGCCGGUGGUGUAACGAUGUGGGUGGUGUAGCGAUGCGGGUGGUGUAAUGAUG